CGAUUCCUCACAAGCAGUCAGCACCAAAGGGGAAGCUAGGACGAAAGAGCGGUUCCUACAAAGCUGCCGUGUCUGAAAAAAUGGAAGACGCACACUGGAAUUGGGCAUCAAGAAGUGACCCUGAUAGAGAGGAGUCUUCUUAUACUAUUCUGCCAGGAAAGACGUCAGCGAAACGAGACGUGCAACCAGGACCAGCAAAGAGGUUUGAAAAGCAGUCUUUUUCCCUCCCUGCCAAAGGGGCAAAACAGAAGUGGUCGAGUACGGAGGUGGAUGCAGUUGAACAUUAUUUGAUGGAUUUCAUUUGAAUUGGAAAGACCCCUGGAAAACAAGACUGUGAGAGAUGUAUUUCUGCUUUUCCCCAAGCACUAGUAAACCGGGACUGGAGAUCUGUAAAAUUCUAUGUACGCAAUAGAAUAACUGCAGAUCAAAGACGUCCAAAUGCAAAAUACAUGUGAUUUUUAUUUGUUCUAGCUACAAAAGUUAUGUGGUUAAAAUCUUAACUUGAUAUGGUGGUUACUCAACCUGAAUCUUGAGUGUGAGCCAAAUUCUGUAAACCAUGAGUUGGUUUAUAUUUAGGAGCCUUUACGAAGUCUAAAAAUCAACAGAAGUAAAUGGGGCUGAUGAGCAUGUUUUUAUUUUUCAUCAGCAUCAAACAAAAUACAAUUUUAUUUUGAACAGGUGAUUAAGACAUUUAUUAUAACUAGGCUCACACUCAGCCAGCUGUUUUGGCAUUUGUUAUAGCUCUUUAAAGAAAGAUUAACUGUUCAUUUUUUGUCCAGUCAGUGACAAACCACUUUAAUAGU